rnacentral:lncRNA from 1 species
UCAAAUCCAAUCCAAAUCAAAUUGAAUCCAAUUCAAUUAGACUUGAUUCGAACCUCAUUGCUCAAUCAAAUUAAGUCAAUUAGUAAUUCAAUUGCUAAUUAAUCCAACAAUAAUUCACUAAUACUUAGUGAAUUACUUAAUUAUAAUUUUUGCUUAAGACUAAUCAUCAAUCACAUUAACGAUUUUAUCCUACAAUGAUUCAUAAUCAUCAAUCAACCAUC